UGGUAUAUAGCUCAGUGGUAAAGCAUUCGACUGCAAUUCGAGAGGUCCCUGGUUCGAAUCCGGGUGUCCCCU
rnacentral:tRNA from 1 species